rnacentral:misc_RNA from 1 species
AAGUCGUAACAAGGUUUCCGUAGGUGAACCUGCGGAAGGAUCAUUAUUGAAUAUUCUUGAUGGGUUGUAGCUGGCUCUUUGGAGCAUGUGCACGCCUGUCUUGAUUUAAUUCAUCCACCUGUGCACCUUUUGUAGUCUUGGGGGUUAAGCAGUCAACUAUCGGAUGUCAUCCGGAUGUGAGGAAUGCUGAGUGCGAAAGCAUACAGCUUUUCUCAAACUGACUUGUGGUCCCUCAAGUAUUAUGUAUUCAUAUACCACUAGUAUGUUGCAGAAUGUGAUCAAUGGGCUUAUGCCUAUAAUAAUCAUAUACAACUUUCAGCAACGGAUCUCUUGGCUCUC